ACUAAACAUUUCUACCUAAGACAUCCAUGUGACAGCUAACAUAAGGAUUGCAGCUGAUCAAAGGUAAGCCUUUUAAUUUUUAUUCAAAUUUAGUCGGUAUUCAUUUUUAAUUAGAAAACACUGAUCAUUUUACCAACCUUUAUCAUUAGCAGGAAUAUACAUUUUAUUCAAUACCAGAGGUCGUUUGCAGAUCCAUUCUUAAUUAUGAAAAAAAACCUUAUCACACAGGUAUGUAUUAAUCUAUAUUUAUCAUAUAUAGUAUGUUAUAUAGACAGCAGUAUAAAAAGCACCAUUUAGAUUAAGCCUAUUAUUUAGACAAUGCUGGCUUUUAAAAGCAUGUAACUUAGACAACAUCUUUUUUUUUAAAAAAAAACUUUCUGCAAUGUUUUGAUGUUAGCAGCCAUAGCAGUCUUAUAAGUAGUUCUCUUAGCCAAGAUGAGGCAUAUUAAAUGUUUGGAUAGCUGUAAAAAAUAUAGACUUCAUAAUAUUACCAUUAGGGACCAACUGUUAAAGAAGGGAGGCUGUUAAGUGCUCUGAGGUCUGGUGAAUUUAUUAUUCAUUUAUAAGACUGCAACUUCAUGAACUUUUUCCCUUACCUCACUAGGUUUUCCAUAUUACUCAAGGAUCUUUUUCUGUAAGAAACUUGAGUUGAUCCAAAAAGUAGUACUUUGGCAAGUCCAGUUUUCCAUAUUACUUUAAUCUAAACCCACUGAACAAUAUUGGCUAAAACCCAAACAGAUAUUUUUUGACAGUGGCUGGAUUGUGUCUGUUAUGAGAGGAAACAGGUGAGAAAGUGUCUAGACUGGAAAGACCCCAGAAUCUUCCGGCUAGAGAUGCUGGGAAAUUAUAAUCCUGAAAUUAUAGAUCCUGAAAAUUAUUAGGGGUAUGAAAUUUGUGAGUCUUGCAUUUGAGCCCCAAGUUUAAUAUAGGUUAAUGUAGGUAGGUUAACUAAGAUUGGCAGUCUUUGCUAUCUUUAUGUUUCCCUGUGUUUCAUUUUCUCUUAUUUGUUUCUAGUUUAUCUCUGAAUAUUGUGUGGCUCUUCCUUAGCUGCCUUUAAUCUCUCUUGUAUAAAGACAUAAAGCAGUGAAUUUAAUGACAACUCCUAGGUGUUUUGGGUAAUAUGUUAUGGAUGAAUGGGCAUUUUUGAUUGCUUAUGUCUAUGUCAGUGUUUUGAAAUUUUUUCAGCUAUUCUCAUGUUCGUUUAUUGAGGAUUUGAAAUCAUUUGGAAAUGACCACUCAGUCUGCAUAUGUUACUGAGGUGUGGGAUGAAAUACAACCGUAAAUUUCAAAUUGAGUGUGAUGAAAGAGGGGGAAGAUAAAUAUCAAAUGAAGGGGAAAGAAACAAAAAUCCACCAGAUGACAAAAUCUUGUAUUUUAAAGACUGACUGAAAUAGUACCUUUUCUGAGCUUGGCACUAUCUUAGGAGCUGAGGAUACAAGAUCUAAGCACAGCUGUCAGUGCAGAACACAGAACAUAGCCUGGCACAGAUUCCAGAUUCAGUCUCUGAUUGCACAGUAUCCUUGCAAAGGAGGAGAUCCGCCAAUGUCUGUGUGAUUUCCAGGCGAUGCAGGUAUUUUAAAGCUCACUACCAAGGGGAGCAUGUUUUUGGGGGUGUUCUCAGUUCUGUUAUCUGCAUUCUUCCAUGUGGUGCUUAGUGAAUUCGAUGAAGAGAUGCUGAUAAUCGUCUGCUGCCUUAGUUGAUAUUAGCAUCACUUGUAGGCUCAGAGUUGCCAUUUGUCAUGUUUAGCACAGUCUUGAGAAGAUUCAAAAUUUCUGUUAUUUUUUUAUCCAGAAAUGAAUCCAUGUUGUGAUCUUUAUUAUCGAUACCCAUGUUGUGUAUUACACAAAAUCUCCAUCUGAGAAGAGAUGGUGGAUGCUUCCUCUGGGUGACUUUUAUAAUACUUACCACACUGUGUCAAAGGAAUGAUUAAAUUUCCUCUCUUUCCAGCCAGCUAGACUGUGGUUCUUUGAGCUCAGGGAAUGUGGCCAGCCGUAUUUUUAACCCCAGCACCAGACAUGGUACCUGACAUGUAUUGGCCUUCAGUAAGUGCUUUAACGAAUAAAUAAAAUCGUGUGGCACUUUGCUUCACUAUUGCACAGCAUGCCAGUUUAUUUCCAGAUUCAUUUCCAAUCACAACUCUUGAGCUAUCUUAAUGCACUCCUAGAUCUCUUUUCCCAUUUUGUUCCUGAUAGAAAUGUUGCUAUGUCUUAAAGAUUUGUCUGUUAACAAAAUAGUAGGUGCAUUUUAUGUGCUGUGGUUGCACCUUGUGUGAGUCAGGAAGUUAGCUGCUGAAAUAAACAGCCUUCAGAUCUGAGUACAAUAGAGGUUUAUUUUACUCUGACACUACAAACCAACACAGCUUGGUAGCAGAGAGGGGGCUUAAAAGGGCUCUGUUCCAUGCAGUCAUUCAGGGAUCCAGGCCCCUUCUGUCUAGCACCUCUGAUAUCCAGUGGGGCCAUGGCAUUCUCCACUGAAUGAGCUGCAUCUGGUGUGCAGUCAGGCAAAGAGCAGGCCCAUCGUGGACAGCACGGGUUUCAGGUUCAGUCUGGAAGUCAUGCACAUCAUGUCCAUCCAUAUUCCACAGGCUAGAAUUCAGUUUUGCAGACUCACUUCACUGUGGAAGGUUCAAAAUGUGGAGUGGUGUGCCAAGGAGAAUGACUAAUGAGUGUGCGUUGAUGCACAAUAGUAAGUCCCUGUGGCACACUCUUUGAUCAAAAAAAGUACAUCCUUUGAGACUAGGCAGAAAUAGUCCCAAACACUUUAUAUAUCCCUUCAGCUCCUGAGAUGCUUGUCAUAUUCUCAUGAGAGCCGAAUUUGAGUUUCAGGGAGACCUAGGUACUCUUUAUAAUAGAAGGAAUACUUCGGGCUCAGAACCUGUCUUCUUUGCCCUCUGUUUUGACCGUAGACCUGUCUCUGAAGUCUUGCUCAGUCACAGAUGAGACUAAAGUCCAGUCUGAAGCAGGGAGCGAGAACUUGCAAUCAUUUCAAAAAUCAGGCACAAAAAGUUUAAGUGUAAAAUGGGGCCUUUUUUUUUUUAAUGUCAACGUUAAUGAAAACAUAUUUUAAAAUCAACCUGUACUUUUACAAAAAAUACAAAAGUAAAGAUAGUGAAACUGAUAGUGUACCCAGCUGGCCAUAUACUGAACUGAGAAACUCCGAAUAGUUGGUGACAAGGAAAUGGCUUCUUAAACACUCAUCUUCCCAAGAUAAGAACCGUCCCCACUUGAGAACUAGAACUGACUGGAGGACACCUGCCAAUGUCAUUUGUGUUGUAUCUGAAUUCACCAAACCAUGAGGCUUUAUUGUAUUUUCUUAUGUAAAUUUCUUUUUUUGUUUUUGAAAUGGAG